GACGAACGCUGGCGGCGUGCCUAAUACAUGCAAGUUGAGCGCUGAAGGUUGGUACUUGUACCAACUGGAUGAGCAGCGAACGGGUGAGUAACGCGUGGGUAAUCUGCCUUUGAGCGGGGGACAACAUUUGGAAACGAAUGCUAAUACCGCAUAAAAACUUUAAACACAAGUUUUAAGUUUGAAAGAUGCAAUUGCAUCACUCAAAGAUGAUCCCGCGUUGUAUUAGCUAGUUGGUGAGGUAAAGGCUCACCAAGGCGAUGAUACAUAGCCGACCUGAGAGGGUGGACGGCCAAAAUGGGACUGAGACAAGGCCCAAACCCCUAAGGGAGGCAGCAGUAGGGAAACUUCGGAAAUGGACGAAAGUCUGAACGAGCAAAGCCGGGUGAGUGAAGAAGGUUUUCGGAUCGUAAAACUCUGUUGGUAGAGAAGAAAGUUGGUGAGAGUGGAAAGCUCAUCAAGUGACGGUACCUACACAGAAAGGGACGGCUAACUACGUG
rnacentral:rRNA from 1 species